rnacentral:rRNA from 1 species
UAGGGAAUCUUCCACAAUGGACGCAAGUCUGAUGGAGCAACGCCGCGUGAGUGAAGAAGGUCUUCGGAUCGUAAAGCUCUGUUGUUGGUGAAGAAGGAUAGAGGCAGUAACUGGUCUUUAUUGACGGU